rnacentral:rRNA from 1 species
GACGUAGGGGGCAAGCGUUGUCCGGAAUCAUUGAGCGUAAAGCGCACGUAGGCGGCUUUCUAAGUCGGGGGUGAAAUCCUGGAGCUCAACUCCAGAACUGCCUUCGAUACUGGAAAGCUCGAGUCCGGGAGAGGUGAGUGGAACUGCGAGUGUAGAGGUGAAAUUCGUAGAUAUUCGCAAGAACACCAGUGGCGAAGGCGGCUCACUGGCCCGGUACUGACGCUGAGAUGCGAAAGCGUGGGGAGCAAACAGG